rnacentral:lncRNA from 1 species
AUGCUAACCUGUGCCGUCUGCAUCGCGGGGUUCUGUGAGGGCCUGCUGAGAGGUGAAACGGACGGGAGAAAGGCUUCGGGGGAGUCAGGAGCGAGUGGGAUGGUCCUUCAUAAAGGUUCUACUGACAUGUUACUACAGAAGCAGAAGCCCAGGAGACAGAAAGCAGACAGGCUACAAUCCCGUCCGGGAGCCCUGCUCUGGAACCAGGACCUGCCCCUGCACGGGGUCCAAGCGAGGCCCACGGUCCACAGAGCCAGACCCUGCCCCGAACCGAUGGCCAAUCCUAGAAGACAAAAGACAGAGAGAUGGUCUUCCUGAACCAGGAACCCCAGAGAAAAUUUCCAAGAGGAGAUAUCCUAACUGGAG